UCCCUGGUAGUGUAUCGGUUAGUACACGCGCCUGUCAUCAUCAAACUUUAGCGCCGUAGCUUUACUAAAGACGCGCGAAAGCUGGGUUCGACUCCCAGCCAGGGAG